rnacentral:rRNA from 1 species
AUGAAGCAACUCCUCCCUGCAUUCAAUAAGCUAAGGAAGCUAUCCGUGUGUGGCAUCUUUGUUGAAUUCUACCUUGAAUGGACAAUAGCUUUUCUUGUGGCGGCACCAUGUAUUGAAAUGUUACUUAUUGAGGUAUGGGAACAUACAUGUGAUUUGGAUGAAAAAAUCAGACGGUGGUACCCUAAAAGAAGGACUCCUCGGUGGGAAAUGCACUUCGAUGGAUCCAAGAACUCUCUUUUGAAAGAGCUAGAAUUUAUUGGCUUUAGGUCACUACGACAUCAAUUUACAUUUAUAAGAUCCAUUCUAGAGCGAGCCCCCAACGUGCAGAGGAUAGUUCUGAAAGGAGACGAGCAAUGCGAAUAUUGUGAUGCUCUUGAUACACCACCUCGUCCUUCAAAAUUUCCAAAGAAGGAUGAAGAGCAAGAAAUAGUGGUUAAGCGAAUUCGAGAUGGAAUAUUCUCAACGCAGAUAUUUUUUGAUGAAUAA